AUUGAACGCUGGCGGCAGGCUUAACACAUGCAAGUCGAGCGAGCGGCGGACGGGUGAGUAAUGUCUGGGCAACUGCCUGAUGGAGGGGUCUAACUACUGGAAACGGUAGCUAAUACCGCAUACCAUCAGAUGUGCCCAGAUGGGAUGAGCUAGUAGGUGGGGUAAUGGCUCACCUAGGCGACUAUCCCUAGCUGGUCUGAGAGGAUGACCAGCCAAACUGGAACUGAGAAACGGUCCAGACUCCUACGGGAGGCAGAAGUGGGGAAUAUUGCACAAUGGGCGCAAGCCUGAUGCAGCCAUGCCGCGUGUGUGAAGAAGGCCUUCGGGUUGUAAAGCACUUUCAGCGAGGAGGCGUUACUCGCAGAAGAAGCACCGGCUAACUCCGUGCCAGCCGCCGCGGUAAUAC
rnacentral:rRNA from 1 species